rnacentral:rRNA from 1 species
GAUGAACGCUGGCGGCGUGCCUAAUACAUGCGAGUCGAGCGAACGGACGAUAAGCUUGCUUCUCUGAUGUUAGCGGCGGACGGGUGAGUAACACGUGGAUAACCUACCUAUAAGACUGGGAUAACUUCGGGAAACCGGAGCUAAUACCGGAUAAUAUUUUGAACCGCAUGGUUCAAAAGUGAAAGACGGUCUUGCUGUCACUUAUAGAUGGAUCCGCGCUGCAUUAGCUAGUUGGUAAGGUAACGGCUUACCAAGGCAACGAUGCAUAGCCGACCUGAGAGGGUGAUAGGCCCCCCUGGAACUGAGCCACGGUCCAGACUACUACGGGAGGCAGCAGUAGGGAAUCUUCCGCAAUGGGCGGAAGCCUGACGGAGCAACGCCGCGUGAGUGAUGAAGGUCUUCGGAUCGUAAAACUCUGUUAUUAGGGAAGAACAUAUGUGUAAGUAACUGUGCACAUCUUGACGGUACCUAAUCAGAAAGCCACGGCUAACUACGUG